GUCAGAAAAAAGUGCGACUGUGAAAGAGAAAAUAAUCAACAGUCAAGCGGAGAGAAAAUUAGGAGAAGGGCGAAAACUCGAGGAGAACAAUGCGAAAUUACGUGAAUGCGUACUGAACAAAUUGUGGGACUCUUUGCCACCGGAAGCACAAAUUUUAUCUCACGAAGAGGACGACGAAAAGGACCUAGAUUCCGACUGGACAGAAUCGGGUUUGGACGGAGAAGAUGAAGAGAACGUGCGUGAAAAUAGGGGAAACAGCAGAAAAAGCCCGAAAUCCUUUUCCCCCAGAUCGGACAAAUCGUCAUUA